GUGCUUGCUUCAGCAGCACAUACACUAAAAUCUGGACCGAUACAGAGAAGAUUAGCAUGGCCUCUGCACAAGGAUGACACACAAAUUCGUGAAGCAUUCCAUACAAAA
ensembl:snRNA U6 U6 spliceosomal RNA